rnacentral:rRNA from 1 species
CCUACGGGAGGCAGCAGUGGGGAAUAUUGCACAAUGGGCGCAAGCCUGAUGCAGCAACGCCGCGUGAGGGAUGAAGGCCUUCGGGUUGUAAACCUCUUUUAGCAGGGAAGAAGCGAAAGUGACGGUACCUGCAGAAAAAGCACCGGCUAACUACGUGCCAGCAGCCGCGGUAAUACGUAGGGUGCAAGCGUUGUCCGGAAUUAUUGGGCGUAAAGAGCUCGUAGGCGGUUUGUCACGUCUGCUGUGAAAAUCCAAGGCUCAACCUUGGACUUGCAGUGGGUACGGGCAGGCUAGAGUGCGGUAGGGGAGAUGGGAAUUCCUGGUGUAGCGGUGGAAUGCGCAGAUAUCAGGAGGAACACCAAUGGCGAAGGCACAUCUCUGGGCCGUAACUGACGCUGAGGAGCGAAAGCGUGGGGAGCAAACAGGAUUAGAUACCCUGGUAGUCCACGCCGUAAACGGUGGGUGCUAGCUGUGGGCCACAUUCCACGUGGUCCGUAACGAAGUUAACACAUUAAGCACCCCGCCUGGGGAGUACGGCCGCAAGGCUAAAACUCAAAGGAAUUGACGG